AGACCCGAAACCCGGUGAUCUAGCCAUGGGCAGGUUGAAGGUUGGGUAACACUAACUGGAGGACCGAACCGACUAAUGUUGAAAAAUUAGCGGAUGACCUGUGGCUGGGGGUGAAAGGCCAAUCAAACCGGGAGAUAGCUGGUUCUCCCCGAAAGCUAUUUAGGUAGCGCCUCGUGAAUUCAUCUCCGGGGGUAGAGCACUGUUUCGGCUAGGGGGCCAUCCCGGCUUACCAACCCGAUGCAAACUGCGAAUACCGGAGAAUGUUAUCACGGGAGACACACGGCGGGUGCUAACGUCCGUCGUGAAGAGGGAAACAACCCAGACCGCCAGCUAAGGUCCCAAAGUCAUGGUUAAGUGGGAAACGAUGUGGGAAGGCCCAGACAGCCAGGAUGUUGGCUUAGAAGCAGCCAUCAUUUAAAGAAAGCGUAAUAGCUCACUGGUCGAGUCGGCCUGCGCGGAAGAUGUAACGGGGCUAAACCAUGCACCGAAGCUGCGGCAGCGAACGUAUCACCCAAGACAACUUUACGGAGUUGACGAUUGACGGAGCGAAGCGACGUCAAAGCGUUCAUUAAAGUCAAGUUGGCUUAGGGAUACGUUCGUUGGGUAGGGGAGCGUUCUGUAAGCCUGUGAAGGUGUGUCGUGAGGCAUGCUGGAGGUAUCAGAAGUGCGAAUG
rnacentral:rRNA from 1 species